UUCAUGACCAAAUAAAAAGAGAGGGAAUCCAGCCAACCCAAAAGCAAAUUCGACUAUCAUGAAGACUAGAACAUAUUAAUCCCCUAGACUUAAAUCUCUGUUUAACAUUAUUACUAAGCAGUGGUACAUUUAUUUAAAUGUGUAGUGGUCGUGCUGCUACUUCCCUCCUUUCCCAAAAGUAAGGAUCAAGUGCCUGCAUCAAACAAUGCAAGAGUGAGAUGACACAUCUCAGCAAGUAAAAAGAUCAACAGCGACUGGAUAAUGUAAAUAAGCCGUGCUUAAACAACCACGUAGUUCACAAUUGUCGUCUUGAAUAUUAAAUUGCAGGAAGUAAACAAGUAACCAAUUACUCAGUUCCAAAAUGAAUCACAAAGUAAAGAUCCACACUAUCCACACCACCAUAACAGGUGCCACACUUCAUCUAUGAAUGCACAUGGCUACAGAUGCAGUAAUGACUUCUGCCUUCAUACCUCUAAGGAUAUGAAGCUGCAUCAUACCCUUCUCGGGCAAUGUAUGAUGCUCAUUGUAUCGAUACGGUCGGACCAUAUGAUCGCGACAAAACUUCCAUACAAAGGAUGAUGGAUGCAUUAUACAUGACAACAACAUAAGACCCUUCACCCAACAUGUGGUAAACAUACUUCCACUUCUUCAAAAUGAUAAACAACACGUGUAAUAUGCUCGAACAACAUCUUCAACAUAAGUAAAUAAUGGAACAUGAAUGACUUCGAGCAACAUUUCCCACAAUGGAGUACACGAAUGAAAACAUUUGACAUGGAUGUAAUCAAGUAUAGGACUCACAAAUCAAUUAACGGUAUAAACCACCACUAUUUUACUUGCCUUCACCGGGGAGUUUGGACAAAGUCCUAAGU
rnacentral:lncRNA from 1 species